GAUGAACGCUGGCGGCGUGCCUAAUACAUGCAAGUCGAGCGAACGGACGAGAAGCUUGCUUCUCUGAUGUUAGCGGCGGACGGGUGAGUAACACGUGGAUAACCUACCUAUAAGACUGGGAUAACUUCGGGAAACCGGAGCUAAUACCGGAUGAUCUUUUGAACCGCAUGGUUCAAAAGUGAAAGACGGUCUUUCUGUCACUUAUAGAUGGAUCCGCGCUGCAUUAGCUAGUUGGUAAGGUAACGGCUUACCAAGGCAACGAUGCAUAACCGACCUGAGAGGCUGAUCGGCCACCCUGGAGCUGAGACACGGUCCAGACUCCUACGGUAGGCAGCAGUAGGGAAUCUUCCGCAAUGGUCGAAAGCCUUACGGAGCAACGCCGCGUGAGUGAUGAAGGUCUUCGGAUCGUAAAACUCUGUUAUUAGGGAAGAACAGAUGUGUAAGUAACUGUGGACAUCUUGACGGUACCGAAUCAGAAAGCCACGGCUAACUACGUG
rnacentral:rRNA from 1 species